AGAGUUUGAUCAUGGCUCAGAUUGAACGCUGGCGGCAGGCCUAACACAUGCAAGUCGAGCGGCAGCGACAACAUUGAACCUUCGGGGGAUUUGUUGGGCGGCGAGCGGCGGACGGGUGAGUAAUGCCUAGGAAAUUGCCCUGAUGUGGGGGAUAACCAUUGGAAACGAUGGCUAAUACCGCAUGAUGCCUACGGGCCAAAGAGGGGGACCUUCGGGCCUCUCGCGUCAGGAUAUGCCUAGGUGGGAUUAGCUAGUUGGUGAGGUAAGGGCUCACCAAGGCGACGAUCCCUAGCUGGUCUGAGAGGAUGAUCAGCCACACUGGAACUGAGACACGGUCCAGACUCCUACGGGAGGCAGCAGUGGGGAAUAUUGCACAAUGGGCGCAAGCCUGAUGCAGCCAUGCCGCGUGUAUGAAGAAGGCCUUCGGGUUGUAAAGUACUUUCAGUAGGGAGGAAGGUUCAUGCGUUAAUAGCGUAUGGAUUUGACGUUACCUACAGAAGAAGCACCGGCUAACUCCGUGCCAGCAGCCGCGGUAAUACGGAGGGUGCGAGCGUUAAUCGGAAUUACUGGGCGUAAAGCGCAUGCAGGUGGUUAGUUAAGUCAGAUGUGAAAGCCCGGGGCUCAACCUCGGAAUUGCAUUUGAAACUGGCUGACUAGAGUACUGUAGAGGGGGGGU
rnacentral:rRNA from 1 species